GGGAUAUAGCUCAGUUGGUAGAGCGACGCGUUCGCAAUGCGUAGGUCAGGAGUUCGAGCCUCCUUAUCUCC
rnacentral:tRNA from 1 species